rnacentral:lncRNA from 1 species
AUUGAUGCUAACUUUGGGUAAGCUACGCUGUCUGUUUUUACAAACCUUAGACGUAAAAGAAUAUUGUUAAGUUGAAAAGUUCCGUGCCUUUCAUCUAUUUGUUAUAUCUAGUGAUGAACGUCUAUGCCAUCCUGUGCAUUUCCUUGUGUGCAUAUUUCUUCUUUGAGGCAUAGAUUCUAGUUCAAUUAUUCCACUUAAAGAGCAUAAAUUUUUCUUAAUUAUUUGACUUUCUGAACCUAGUUGCUUUAGAUUAAGCAAGCACUGCCUUCAAGUAUUAGAAACACAUAAAAAUUGACCAAGGUAUUAUUUCUGCAAAUUCUGGUGUCAGUUUUACAGCAGCAGUUGCAGAAAUGCUUGUUCAAAGUACCAUGGAAGACCUUUACCUGCUUCCUGCUCUUUGCCGGGAUAAAUGGGCAAAUGGAUGCGUGAAAGGAUUGAUGGCACGUGGAGGAGUGACAGUCAACAUAUGCUGGAAAGAAGGAAAUCUUCACGAAGUCGGUCUUUGGUUGAAAAACCAGAAUUGUCUGAAAAGAUUAAGAUUACAUUACAGAGAAACUAUGGUAUCUGUAAAUCUAUCCUCUGAUUUCCUUUACACAUACAAUGAACAGUUAGAAUGUGUGAAUACCUACUCCCUCCAAUAAUAACAAAGAUCCGAAAUGGAUCCUUAUGGU